GACGAACGCUGGCGGCGUGCCUAAUACAUGCAAGUCGAGCGGACCAAAGGGAGCUUGCUCCUGGAGGUCAGCGGCGAACGGGUGAGUAACACGUGGGCAACCUGCCUGUAAGACUGGGAUAACAUCGAGAAAUCGGUGCUAAUACCGGAUAAUAAAAAGAACUGCAUGGUUCUUUUUUGAAAGAUGGUUUCGGCUAUCACUUACAGAUGGGCCCGCGGCGCAUUAGCUAGUUGGUGAGGUAACGGCUCACCAAGGCAACGAUGCGUAGCCGACCUGAGAGGGUGAUCGGCCACACUGGGACUGAGACACGGCCCAGACUCCUACGGGAGGCAGCAGUAGGGAAUCUUCCGCAAUGGACGAAAGUCUGACGGAGCAACGCCGCGUGAGUGAUGAAGGUUUUCGGAUCGUAAAACUCUGUUGUUAGGGAAGAACAAGUGCGUUCGAAAGGGCGGCACCUUGACGGUACCUAACGAGAAAGCCACGGCUAACUACGUGCCAGCAGCCGCGGUAAA
rnacentral:rRNA from 1 species